rnacentral:lncRNA from 1 species
CAGAGGGGGUAAAGUGGACUGGGGAGAACUUCGGAGGAUGUUCAUGUCCAGGAGCAGCCCCACGCCCUGUAUGGUCGGUGUCUAGAGCCUCACAGCAACUAAGACCAACCCAGCUCUCAGAAGAAGGAAUGUCAAAAUGUCAUGUUCAAUUUUACAUUCAGUGCCUGGAAUCUUUUCUUCACAAUUGAAAUGAAAUGUGCUGAAGGAGGUGAAUCCAUGCAUUAAUCUUCAGCUCACAAAGGAAAUACUACAUAAGAAGCAAGACCACAGACUCAAGAAGGACAUAAUUGGAUUUUUUUUGCCAUGGCCUGGAAAGAAAGGUACACACAGUUAACCACAAAACAGGCCUCUCUGAAAAAGCCAUUGCCAUGGACUGCCAGACAGACAAUGACAAGACACAAAUACCUUCUGGUGUGUGAGCCACGGGACAUGUGAGCUUCCCCGCUGAUGCUCCUCUUAUAUCAAAGAUCACUUUCACAACAUGAGCGACUAUCUUUUAUCAAACCAAUGAUCACCUGCAAGCUAUGGUAUAUUUUUGCAGCUGUGUAGAGCUAUGUGGCAUGAGAAUGUGGGACUUAUAAAUUGCUGAUCCAAUAAAUAGACAUUAUGGGCAACAGUGUCUUAUCAGCUAGUGUGUACUAAGGUUUCAGGAACAGUUGUUCUGACCUUACUAUCCAACGAGGAGUAACUGAUUCACUUCUCAGAGGUAUAUUAACCUAAUUUGGACAUCA